rnacentral:rRNA from 1 species
CUCGAAGAGUAGGGCGGGACACGUGGUAUCCUGUCUGAAUAUGGGGGGACCAUCCUCCAAGGCUAAAUACUCCUGACUGACCGAUAGUGAACCAGUACCGUGAGGGAAAGGCGAAAAGAACCCCGGCGAGGGGAGUGAAAAAGAACCUGAAACCGUGUACGUACAAGCAGUGGGAGCACCUUCGGGUGUGACUGCGUACCUUUUGUAUAAUGGGUCAGCGACUUAUAUUCUGUAGCAAGGUUAACCGUAUAGGGGAGCCGCAGGGAAACCGAGUCUUAACUGGGCGUUAAGUUGCAGGGUAUAGACCCGAAACCCGGUGAUCUAGCCAUGGGCAGGUUGAAGGUUGGGUAACACUAACUGGAGGACCGAACCGACUAAUGUUGAAAAAUUAGCGGAUGACUUGUGGCUGGGGGUGAAAGGCCAAUCAAACCGGGAGAUAGCUGGUUCUCCCCGAAAGCUAUUUAGGUAGCGCCUCGUGAAUUCAUCUUCGGGGGUAGAGCACUGUUUCGGCUAGGGGGUCAUCCCGACUUACCAACCCGAUGCAAACUACGAAUACCGAAGAAUGUUAUCACGGGAGACACACGGCGGGUGCUAACGUCCGUCGUGAAGAGGGAAACAACCCAGACCGCCAGCUAAGGUCCCAAAGUCAUGGUUAAGUGGGAAACGAUGUGGGAAGGCACAGACAGCCAGGAUGUUGGCUUAGAAGCAGCCAUCAUUUAAAGAAAGCGUAAUAGCUCACUGGUCGAGUCGGCCUGCGCGGAAGAUGUAACGGGGCUAAACCAUGCACCGAAGCUGCGGCAGCGACACUAUGUGUUGUUGGGUAGGGGAGCGUUCUGUAAGCCUGCGAAGGUGACCUGUGAGGGUUGCUGGAGGUAUCAGAAGUGCGAAUGCUGACA